UCUGCAUAUCUUCAAUAACUUUCUUGACUACUGGGCCUGUUGAGAGCUGAAAGUACAAUAAUCGGCGAGUUAUUUCUGAAGUUGGUUGGAAUUGAAUCGGUGAACAGCUCUGACUCUUGAAAUUAUGGAUACUGGUGCUUAGGAAGCUUAAUCAAUUUGCGACAUCUGGACGUUAAAGGUCUACCUUUAGAAGAGAUGCCACUGCAGAUUAGCAGCAUGAAAGGCUAGCGAACUUUACAGAAGAUGGUUUUGGGAGACAAGCAGAGUGCGUUAAGAAUUAAUGAGUUGAAAGAGCUUCAACAUUUGCAUGGAAAGCUUAAAAUUUCAGGGAUUGAAAACGUUGUUAACGCAAUGGAGGCAUUGGAGGCUAAUUUGAAGGAUAAGAGGUGCCUUACAGAACUAAGUCUGAUCAGAUGGAAGGCUGAUGCCGUUGCUGAUGAUGAGAGUUCACAAGAAGAAAGACAAGUACGUACUCGAUGCGCUUCGACCUCAUACGAACUUGAGAGAUCUUGAAUUUGAGUCUUACAGAGGAUGCACACGCAUUUGGCAGAUGAAGGCUUCCUAAUGGAAAUUGGAAAAUGAGAAUUGCCAAGCUCAGAUCAGAUUAUAUAUGCUUUCUUCUGGAAUAUUCCAUCAACUGUUAAAUAAUGUGGCAUAUGGCAAUCGACGACAGUUCAUUUUAAGAUUCCCUCAGUCCGCAGAUCAAGAAUUACUGGUUGCUUGGUUGUGUUACUCGUUGUUGGGUGAUUUGGGAUUUCAGGAACAAAGCUCGUCAUGAGAAUUUCAAUCCAUCCUUUCAUUCUGCUUUGGUUCUCAUUUUUAGCUCUUUGAAGGGUUCUAGUUAUUUUAAUCUGGGGGUUUCUUUAAACUCUUAUGAGGAUAAACUAGUUCUUCAAAAGUUGCAUCAUGCAUGUUAACCCAAAUCUGUCUAGUUGCUUAAGGGGAUUUUUCAGGAAUUUUUGAGGCUUUGUGUGUGGUUGUUUUAGUAUUUUUCUUGAAGAGAGUGUUUUGCUUUUGAAGCGGAGAUUUGAGCUAUUAUCAAUGCCAUUUUUAUUGAUUAUGAGAA